rnacentral:rRNA from 1 species
UACGUAGGGGGCGAGCGUUGUCCGGAUUUAUUGGGCGUAAAGAGCGUGUAGGCGGCCAGGUAGGUCUGCUGUGAAAACUCGAGGCUCAACCUCGAGAUGUCGGUUGAAACCACCUGGCUAGAGUCCGGAAGAGGAGAAUGGAAUUCCCGGUGUAGCGGUGAAAUGCGCAGAUAUCGGGAAGAACACCCGUGGCGAAGGCGGUUCUCUGGGACGGUACUGACGCUGAGACGCGAAAGCGUGGGGAGCGAACAGG